AAAGUCGUAACAAGGUCUCCGUAGGUGAACCUGCGGAGGGAUCAUUCACAUGAUUACUUUUAUAAAACAAACUGUGAACUUUAUUUAUACUAUUCGUGUUUUUUGAUUUUAUCAUUAAACAUCGUCAUUCGAUUGAACAUAAGAUAGUUGGCUUGAUUAAUUUAUUUUAAUCUUUCUCAGCUUUGAUUUUGAUAUUACUAAACAUUUUAUCAUAUCAACCAUAAACAUAGAAACAACUCUAUGCCCUGGAUAUCUUGGUUCUC
rnacentral:misc_RNA from 1 species